rnacentral:lncRNA from 1 species
AACAGUAUGCUUAACAACUUGAAUUCAGAACCCAGCAACUGCGUUACAAUUAAAUCCAAUCAACACUAUUUAAUUAAUACUGGACCUCAGAAAUUAAUAUGCUGAAAUAUGAGCCUGUUUCUAUAACUGCUAAAACACGAAAUAAACUACGCUAUACUAUACUACACUACAUUAAUAACACAAGUUAAACUGAAUUACAAUUACUAAUUAUUGAUUCUAUAUGCUCCUAGUUAAACAUAAAAUCAAAUCACAAUCCAAGAGUUAGGAAUAGUCCUAACAGUCCAGAAUUAGUUUAGUUAAACAGACUGGCACCAAAUCUCAAAUAAUCAGGCCAUUUUACAAGUUAAAACUGAACAUAGAUGAAAUGAACUCAGGAUUCGACUUCAAACAACAAUUUAAACAACAUUUCUUCAUAUAUUCCCAGAUCAAAAUUACACUGAUCCUUCAAGUUCAUAGGAGAUAAUAAACGUACAUGGGAAAGUGAAUUACAAUAAGAGGAAGAAGGAGUUAGCACAACAACAGUAGUCAGAGUUGCAAACAGCAGUCACACAUGAUCGAUUUCAUCCAGAAAUAUCCCAGAGGUCCAGAAAUGUGUCAGAACCACACGAGAUUGAAUAACAGCUUCUAAACAACUCUAAUAGGGAGAGCAAAUACUGCUUCACACUCUAGAUUAUCGGACAAAACAAGACAUUCAAGUAAUUUUUUUACCAUAGCUAAGCUAGCAGGUUGAUUUGAAAGCUGAAAUUGAGAAACUAACAAUAAUACUUCAACGGAACAGUACUUUCCUCAUUUUUUAAUUUUCUAGAGGUUUUCUAUUGUUUGAAUUUUUGAAGGUAUGUAUUUCACAAAUGCAGAUCUGAAAAUUAAAAGAAGAGAAAAGUUUUGGCUUCUUUUUGAUGAUUGAAAGGAACCCCCUUCACAAGGCAUGAGAAUGCCUUUUAUAUAGGCCUAGAAUGAGGGAACUUCAGAUCUUCC